rnacentral:sRNA from 1 species
CCCAGCGCUGAAGGCUGGGCUAAAUUAUUUUGUCCCUCCGGGACG